AGAUCACGUAAACUUAUUAAUAGUCGAACAGACUAAAUAUUUUAACUUCUUCAUUAAAAAUUAAAUUUAAUUCAACAUCGAGGUCACAAACUCAAUUAUCAAUAAGAACUCGCCAAUUAAAUUAUGCUGUUAUCCCUAGAGUAAUUUUAUUAACUCAUUUUAUUUAAUAUAUUAAAAAUUAUUCUCCUCAACAAUUACCCCAAUUAAAAAUUUUUAAUUUUAAACUUCUAGGGUCUUCUCGUCCCUAAAAUUUACAAAAGCGUUUUUACUUUUAACUAAAAUUCAAACUAAUUAAUAAAAACAAUCCUUUCACAUUUCUACCAUUCAUUCCAGUCCCCAAUAAAAGAA
rnacentral:rRNA from 1 species